rnacentral:rRNA from 1 species
ACGAACGCUGGCGGCGUGCUUAACACAUGCAAGUCGAACGGAAAGGCCUCUUUCGGGGGGUACUCGAGUGGCGAACGGGUGAGUAACACGUGAGUAACCUGCCCUUGACUUUGGGAUAACUUCAGGAAACUGGGGCUAAUACCGGAUAGGAGCUCCUGCUGCAUGGUGGGGGUUGGAAAGUUUCGGCGGUUGGGGAUGGACUCGCGGCGUAUCAGCUUGUUGGUGGGGUAGUGGCUUACCAAGGCGUUGACGGGUAGCCGGCCUGAGAGGGUGAACGGCCACAUUGGGAAUGAGAUAAGGCCCAGACUCCUACGGGAGGCAGCAGUGGGGAAUAUUGCACAAUGGGUGGAAGCCUGAUGCAGCAACGCCGUGUGCGGGAUGACGGCCUUCGGGUUGUAAACCGCUUUCGCUCAUGACGAAGCUUUGUGUGACGGUAGUGGGUAAAGAAGCACCGGCUAACUACGUG